CUUAGUGUCACUUCUCAGGACGUCCAGAUUUCAACGAGUAGCAAACCACUUCAACGACAACAGUAGUGACACAAAAGAUAUACCGAAUAGAAAAGGAUGAGGGGAUGAGAUGCAGGCCUUCGACAAUACAAGACCUGCGGCUGGACGCUGACCCAGAUCCAGUUCAUCCUGUCGGGAUUUUAUUCGAUCUCUAAUGGAUCCCUCUCACCUCGCUGCUGUCACUUCUGCACAAACCAAAGCGCUGCUAUCGUGUUGUAUCAAUUACAGCUGACCACCAGUCAGGUGGGUCUGCGGGACAUUUUAGAUCACGGAGGGGCAGCCAGCUCACUCAGCGCCUCCAGCCUGCUCUCAGACUCCAGUCCCAGGCCCCGCUGAGGCCUUGUCCCAGGCAGGGCAGAGAGACACCUGGCCAAACCACAGAAACACUUCCAGCUGCAGACUGCCUGAUGCUCACCACGGAGAGAAUCCAGGCCAAAGGUGGAGGAGCUCACCAAGAACUACUGCACUACCAUAUACAUUUCUCUGAAUUUCAUGAUGUUUAUUUUAAUCGCAGUACCAAGCAUUUAUUCAUCUUUAGAGGCAGAGAAAGUAUUGCAAGGCAAGUCUUUAAGUUCCAGUCCUUUUAAGCAAACUUUUACAUUGUCAAAAUGUUCACAACAAAAGUCUCCUUUCUCCUCAUAAUGGAAAACAAAGCAGAGCAGCGAGACUGUUAAACUGUGCUCCUCAAAGUGAAAGUGGGAGAGCACAAGGGGUGAAAAAAAAGGGCAGACAGAACAACAGCUCCCUUUUCUCUCUGAGCAGUUGACAUGAAAGACCACAUUAUGUCUGAGAUUAGAGGCAAUUACACUGGGAGUGCGCUUUAAGACCUUUGUUUGCCAACAUGACAGGAGGGAGCAGGGCUGUAAUUUGAUGAUGGGGCAGCGCGAGUGAGAAACUCUGCAUGGCCAGCUCCCAGCGGAGAGAGGCAAAGAGAAGCCUUUGUCCGUAGCGUGGACAUGGCAGUUGGCAGAAAUGUGAACGUUUAGAGAAAGAUUAAUUCAACUGGGAUUCAUUAAUUAGCAGAGGUAUCUUUCCCCAUCGUCAGAUUUAUUGUAUGGCUACCGUUUGUGGUUGAAAAGUGAGUUUAAAGAGUAUUUACAGCCCCAAAGGAAAUACUUUCAUCUUUGGCUUUUGUUCCAGAUGACAGUUCAAAAGCUGCUAUCUAUUGUUUCAGCAUUCAUAUUAAUUCAAAUGGCACAAUUGUUUUGGUUCAUUCAAAUGUCACAAAUACUGUAAACAUAUGAUUCAGCCUGAACCUGCGGUCAAACAAAAGCACCACACCAGAUCUUCAAGACGUGACAUCUCCUCUAUUCUGGCCGGGUGCAUUGUUCCAACAUGCUGCGAGUUUUCAGGACAGGAAACAAGCAGCUUGUUCCAGCCCGACCGGCAGAAUGGAGCACGUUUUUAUUUGAAGGAAGUCAUUCCGUUGAUAUAUAAAACACCAAAGCAAAGUUUCCUUCCCCUCACUUUCCUGGUGCUAUCCCCUUCAAAAGGACAUGGUCCUUUAUACUGGGCUCACAUGCACACACGGGACCAGAAGAAAAACAAAUAGAGGCCAUUUAAAUAUCAACCAACCUGCCUUCUGUUUGAAUGGAGGAGCUACUGCACAGCUCGGCCAGGGCUGGUCCAGCAUGCUGGUGUAAUGUGCUCAGCCCUCUGAACUAUGGAUGUGGACCAAACAGAGGGACAACAGCAAAACAAAGCAUUGUGGUGGUCAAUUCUGCAGGUAUACUGUGAAAUGAAAUAUACUGUAUGUGAUUGUUUAUGCCAGAAACUGAAAACUACAUGCAAAUGUUACCUCUUCACUACUGUCCAAAAUGUGUUUGCAGAAUCGAGUAUCGACAACUGUCAAGUGACAAAAGUUGGCAUUUAAUGUUUGGUCAGAUUCUUAUUAUUGUUUCCUUAUUUUUUAUUCAACAUUUCCUGAUUUAAAUUUAGCUAAUUUUAGACUAUUUUACUACAGCAAAGUUCUUGCUUUGUGUUAAGACAAAAUUAAAAAGUGACACAUUUGAUAAGUUUGACUUAUUUUGUUAAAUAAAAGAGAUAAAAAAUGGUUUUGUAGAAAAACAUCUUUAUGUUCUUUGAUUUAAGGUAUCAAAAAAGUUUUGUUCAAGGUUCAAGGUAUAAUUUAUUGUCAUUCUCUCCAUAUACAUCAUUGUUGAAUAAAGUGCAAUGAAUGAUAGGUGGCGUCACACA